rnacentral:lncRNA from 1 species
AUCUAAUCUAAACAACAUAAAAUUAGAUCUACACAUAUAUAAAUUCAUACCAUAUCGAACAAGGCUCUAAUACCAAUUGAAAGAAAUACUGACAGUUCUAUACAUGUAAUUUUAAAAUUUUACAGCAGAUCUCGAUAGAUUAAACAAUUUAACUUAUAUUAUAUAUACAAGAUCUAAUCUAAACUAUCAUGCCAAGACCUAUGAUAUGAUAAAAUAUGAGAUUAAGAUCUGAAAAAUAAAAAUCUGCAUCAAUCAUAUCGAUACUAUAGACU